GACGAACCGUGCAAACGUUGUUCGGAAUCACUGGCUUAAAGGGCGCGUAGGCGGCUCGCCAAGUCGGGGGUGAAAUCUUUCGGCUUAACCGGAAAAGUGCCUUCGAUACUGGCGGGCUGGAGGGAGGUAGGGGCAUGUGGAACUUCCGGUGGAGCGGUGAAAUGCGUUGAUAUCGGAAGGAACGCCGGUGGCGAAAGCGACGUGCUGGACCUCUUCUGACGCUGGAGGCGCGAAAGCUAGGGGAGCGAACGGG
rnacentral:rRNA from 1 species